GGAGCUGGGGUCUCUUGGGGGCGGGAAGCAGGCUGGGGACCAGGAUCUCGCGGCUGGAUUGCGUGGUCCCCAGGAAGGCAGCCCCGACACGGACCACACAGUCUCUGGGGCACCGGGUGGGACCCACACUUGCCAAGCAUCUUGAUGGCUACAUUGUAAAAAGGCGACAACGGAGACCCAAGGCUAAUUGAAGAAAAUCUUUUAUUCAACACACUGGAUACACACGCAGUCCACAUUUAAAUGUUAUCAGUGAAGUGUUUUCGCGGCUGUAAACCUGCGCCUGGGCGCACAGUAGGCCUCAGCGCCGCCGGCCCCCUGCCCAGGAGAGCUAUGCCGGUGUGGGCAGAGCCAGGGGCAGCCACGCCAGGUCGCCCUUCAGCUGCCCCCCCCCCGCUCCGUUAAAACAGACGGCAGCCCCCACCUGCACGAAGUGACAGGCAGCUGCGCCCUUGCCAAGGAAAGCAUCCCCUCUAGUGAUAGUUGGGAGAUCCUGCUUACAGCGUCCGCCUCGCCUCACCACCAAAACCCUUUGACUUGGAAACUGAUGUCUGAUUCAUUCAGCAGGGGUAGCGGACAGACUGAAUUGGGCCCACCGGAACGUGGGGAAGACCCCAGAGCACCUGCUGUCGCCCACACCCUCCAACCCCUGGCAGAAAACAGAGAAGAGGUCGUGGGAGCACACAGAAGGUGGCCGUGGACAAGCCAGGAAGAAACCAGAGCUGUGGGGACUUGGCCUGAGACUCUGGGCGUCCAGAACCCCGAGGAAUACAUUUCUGUAGGAAGCCUCCUACUGGGUGGUAUCUUGUUGCAGAGCCUCCCUGACCAAUACGGUAUCUUGUUUCCCUUUUCACGAAAUCUGCACGUGCCAAGGAUGCCCUUCGUAGAAAGCAAAUGCAGAGACAUCACUGAUGCCUGGAACCUGCCUCCUAAGAAGUGGCACUGCCUGUUCACCUGUCCGCAGGCUGCCUCUCCCGCCUCACCUCCACCACCUCCGCACUCCUGCGUGCGUGUGUGCUGGCUCACUCAGAGGCUGUGCCUGAGUCGGAGAACACCCAGCCCCUGCCCUGGCACCCUCCUCGCCCAGCACCCACCCUCCUGGCUCCCCUGUCUGACCUCUUCCCCCCGUCUCCAAGCCCCCAGCCGGCCUUCCCACUUGGUGGGCAGGCUUGCCCUCCACCUUCGGAAAGAAGGAUUUGCAGUCCUUCCUCCACCCAGCCCACCGCCCCCUCUCGGUCCCGCCAUCAGCUCACAAGCAGGCUGCAGUGUCUCAUAUCCUGUCAAGUCCCCCAGUGUCCUCCGCCCCUCUGUGCCCUCCCGUCUCUGCUCCUUUGCUGCUGAUGCCUCUCCUAGGAGCUGACCAGUCUGCCCCAAGUGCCCUCAGCUGUGCUGCCCUCACCCUGACGGGGCCAUUCUCACGGUUAGUGCGGGCCUCCUAAUUCAGCAGCCAGUCCCCACCCCAGGCUCCCACCCUCCCGAUUACCCCCCAGAAAUAGGGUCUGCCUGCUGACGAUGACAUUUGCAGUCCUGGUCCUCCCCCUGGCUGCCCACCCCCUCUGCCUCCUUUGCUUGCUCCUCCUGGCACUCCGCCUGAAGUCCUGGGGUCCCCAGGCUUGGUCCCGGCUCCCCCUUCCUGUGUGCACACUCCCUGCUGAUGGUCCUGAGACGAUCGCUUCACACUCUCUCCACGUGUCUGCUGCUGCGCUGGGAAGGGCUAUCGCGAACCCCGCAGACGGCAACGAGUUCCGGAUUCACUCCCGCCUCCCGAGGCUCACACUCCCAGGUGCCCACCUGACGAUGCAUGGAGCCCAGGCCACCUCGGGUCCUUGGCAGCCUUCUUUGUCUCUCUGCCCCAGAGGCAGCUUCACUGGCUUCUUCCGGCCCUUCCGCCUCUCACGUGCUCCUUCCUCCUUCAGACCCCCUGACCCACCGAGCACACCACCACGUCGUCUUUCCCUUCCCCUCUGCCUGUUGACCCCCCCCCCCCCGCCAGGCACACAGGUGUAGCCCGCCACCAAGAAAGAACAAAUAUGUGUUACGUGAAUAAAUAACAUGUCAGAGCCCUCGCCAUGCCCGGGUCCUGGGGGCCUGACUUUCAGAGACGCUGACUACUAACAUCACCGCUAUUAAAAGCCACGUUCAUGAAAUCAUGGGUAAAAGGGAGGCUUACUUUUUCUUGUGUGCCCUUCGUUACCUGUGGGAUGCUGUCCCAUGUCUAUGUUUCCUUUGCCAAAAUAACAAUAGCAUUCUUUAA